rnacentral:rRNA from 1 species
AUACGGAAGGUCCGGGCGUUAUCCGGAUUUAUUGGGUUUAAAGGGAGCGCAGGCGGAGAUGCAAGCGUGACGUCAAAUUUCGGGGCUCAACCCCGUCUCGCGUCGCGAACUGCGUCCCUUGGUUGCGGGAAGGGGAGGCGGAACUCGUGGUGUAGCGGUGAAAUGCAUAGAUAUCACGAAGAACUCCGAUCGCGAAGGCAGCCUUCCGGCCCGUCAACGACGCGCAUGCUCGAAGGUGCGGGUAUCAAACAGGAUUAGAUACCCUGGUAGUCCGCACAGUAAACGAUGGACACCCGCGGUUUGGCCUAUAGGGCUGAGCGGCCAAGCUAAAGCGUUAAGUGUCCCACCUGGGGAGUACGCCGGCAACGGUGAAACUCAAAUGAAUUGGCGGGG